AACAAAUUAUUUACAGCCAAGUACGUUAGGUCUCUGAAUCUCAAGUCACCCAUGUCCAGCAACUCAGCUCAGUGGCUGAGAGUUAUUGUAGAAAUAUGUACUGGGACUUCGUAAGAGUAGUGUGAGGCAAGCAAGUCAGAGAAGGGUCUCAGUGAUCUAGGAGUCAGCCCUCUAUUUGAGUCAGCUCAUCCUACAUUCAGAAGCAGCUCUGCUGAGAUUUGUAAGACAGACAAGGUAGACACACAACAUUGUGCUUCUUCCUGCAAAACUUAUCUGCUGGGGGGAAAAAGCCUCCAAGGUGCAUCAUUAGGUAACACUUAGUACCAGGCUGAGCUUGUUAGUGUAAUCAACAGCCAUAACAUGGUGGCUGAGUCAAGAGGAAUGUGGGAAGGAAGCAGGGGAGAAUAAGGAGAAAUUACUUGCUACAAACAAAGCCAAAUACCACGUAGGUGUAGGAAGAAAUAAUCACUGGAAAUGGAGAGGAAUAAAAGCAACUCUACCUGCUUAAGAAAUCUGUCGGACGCAUGGCUGUGCUUAGCUAACACAUUGGGCAGAGCAGGGUUUUCAUAUUCAAACUGAGGAUUGUACGUGAAAU